rnacentral:rRNA from 1 species
UACGUAGGGGGCAAGCGUUGUCCGGAUUCAUUGGGCGUAAAGAGCGUGUAGGCGGCCAGGUAGGUCGGUUGUGAAAACUGGAGGCUCAACCUUCAGAGGUCGACCGAAACCAUCUGGCUAGAGUCCGGGAGAGGAGAGUGGAAUUCCUGGUGUAGCGGUGAAAUGCGCAGAUAUCGGGAAGAACACCCGUGGCGAAAGCGGCUCUCUGGAACGCAACUGACGCUGAGACGCGAAAGCGUGGGGAGCAAACAGG